rnacentral:rRNA from 1 species
UACGGAGGGGGCUAGCGUUGUUCGGAAUUACUGGGCGUAAAGCGCACGUAGGCGGCUUGGUAAGUUAGAGGUGAAAGCCCGGAGCUCAACUCCGGAAUUGCCUUUAAGACUGCCGAGCUAGUAGGUGAGAGAGGUAAGUGGAAUUCCGAGUGUAGAGGUGAAAUUCGUAGGUAUUCGGAAGAACACCAGUGGCGAAGGCGGCUUACUGGCUCAUUCUAGACGCUGAGGUGCGAAAGCGUGGGGAGCAAACAGG